AAGUUGAUUUUUCUUCUAAUACUGCAUUAUUCUCUCCUGAUUGGAGCAAACUUGACCUCAAGUUAUGAAGUGCAGAAGAAUCAGUAAUUUACUUUGGAGAACAAGUAACUUUAUCUUCUUUAAUGGUAGCAAUAAGGUUGAAAUGAAGAACUUCACACUUUCUAUUGUAUCACUGGAAACGUCUGAACAUAGAAAAUUAAUCGCAAUUAUAGUUGAAUGGCUCUUCAAAUGACUAGGAGUUUUUGGAGUCUUGUCUCUCUCUCUCUUUUUUCUCUUGUUUUAAUUCGGGCUUGACGUCACGAAACACGGCCAGGCCCUGUUCCCGACCUCCAUAACACACCCCCAAUGUGUUCUUCUCUGCCUGAACUUGGAACAGCUUCUUGGCGCGCACAACACAUAAACUCACUUCUGAUUUACAAUUGAGCCAUGCAUACUUAAUGACAGUGUCAGCAUUUAGUGUUAUGUUGAAACCUCAGCUAUAAAUUUCUUCAAGAGAGAUCAGCACAUGCAAAACUGUCUGAUUACUUAUUGUUCAUCUUGUGCAGGAAAUGUGAGCGACG
rnacentral:misc_RNA from 1 species